CUCAAAACUCUCACAAGCAUCACCCCAACCCAAUUGCAAUGUUGAACUUGAGUCCAUCCAGGUAGUGAUAGACCAGCCCAGGUGUUAUUGGACGGCGAGUGAGGGAGCAAAGGUCUGUCUGCCUUUUGCCCUGAUGGUAUGAACCGUCAUGUCAGGGUGCAACAGCAUCUCAUUUUUCACGAGCAACUCCUUGGGAUCCCUGUAGUUCAAAAUUGGGUUUGACCUGGUAAAUGUUCGAGCCCUCUCAACGGGGGUUCCGCGCCCAAAACACUCGAGGACCCCGGGAAUGGUGGCCGGACGACGCGAACGAGUGUAAUUUCAACCGUUGUCGGCUAAUUGGAAUAUUGGAAAGAAUUUUAAUUUGUACUGACGUUGGUUUAUCACAAUUUAUGCCGACAGAGCCCGACAGAGCCUGACAGAAGACCUUGGUCAUCUAGCUCUGUCUCAGCACUUGUGCUAGGAUCGCGGAGUGCCAGAGUUAUGACCAAAACCCUUCAGAAAUAUGUUCAUAUCGAGUCGGAGAAUCAUUUCUCUGGGACGUUUUUUACCCAGCUCACUGGUAUGUGGUUAGCUACAAAUCUUCUGAAUACAAUGGUUCCCUUGGAUCAGGAGUUAAAAAGAGGGACAGGAAUGGAUCUCUUACUGUCAUCCAACAAAUUGGUUGACCCGAACACUCUGAAAAUCUUUGUCCAGGGCACGCGACCGAGCUCCGACAGACUUGAUUCGAUCAUGUUUUACGAAGGUAAUGAGCCAUUGCUCUCUCUACCGGAGGGAUCCCCAACUCAGCUCGAUAUCAAAUCAAAUCAGCCCUAUUGAAUACACAUUCCCUCUCUACGCUCUAAGCUUUUCUACAGUGGACUCGAAUUCCAUGCCCAGCCAGAGUCUCACUCCAGAGCCUCACUCCAAACUUGGCGUUUUCAAGCCGAACAACAUCUCAUUGUGACAGUGGCCCCCCAACUGAUUGUGUCAGACAGCUUUCAAGUAAAUUGUUACUUAUUGUUUCUCGAGUCAAGACCCGAAAACACCACGUUUCGGUCCCGAGACCGGAAUCAACGUGAUAGAUAUUCUCCGGACAAGGUUGCCAAGGCCACUCCCCCCAAUGUGUUGGAAGUGAGUGCCGACAUUCCACGGACAAGAUCGUCUCUUUUUCCCUGGCAAUGAACAUCAUGUAUCGCAUGGAGUAACUGACUUCAUGACGGACGAUUUUUAGGGGGAUAAUCCCGAAGUCACGCUGCGACAAGAUCACCCGCCAAUGACCGACAAACUAACUUGUUAAUAAAGACUAAAAGCUUAA